GUGAGGAAUAUUGCUCAAUGGGCGAAAGCCUGAAGCAGCGACGCCGCGUGAGGGAUGAAAUCCGUUAGGAUGUAAACCUCUUUUAUAAGGGAAGAAUAUUCCGCUCGGCGGAAUUGACGGUACCUUAUGAAUAAGCACCGGCUAACUACGUGCCAGCAGCCGCGGUAAUACGUAGGGUGCGAGCGUUGUCCGGAAUUACUGGGUGUAAAGGGUCCGCAGGCGGGCAAAUAAGUCAGAGGUGAAAUGCUUCGGCUCAACCGAAGAAAUGCCUUUGAUACUGUUUGUCUUGAGUUCGAGAGAGGAUAGUGGAAUUCAUGGUGUAGCGGUGAAAUGCGUAGAGAUCAUGAAGAACACCAGUAGCGAAGGCGGCUAUCUGGCUCGAUACUGACGCUCAGGGACGAAAGCGUGGGUAGCAAACAGGAUUAGAUACCCCAGUAGUCC
rnacentral:rRNA from 1 species